rnacentral:rRNA from 1 species
CAAAGGGAAGCUAGCCGGUGACGGUGCGCGAAUCCCAAAAAUAACGUCUCAGUUCGGAUUGUAGUCUGCAACUCGACUACAUGAAGCUGGAAUCGCUAGUAAUCGCGGAUCAGAAUGCCGCGGUGAAUACGUUCCCGGGUCUUGUACACACCGCCCGUCACACCAUGGGAGUCGGAAAUGCCCGAAGUCUGUGACCGAACCGAAAGGAAGGAGCAGCCGAAGGCAGGUCGGAUGACUGGGGUGAAGUCGUAACAAGGUAAC